rnacentral:rRNA from 1 species
GAUGAACGCUAGCUACAGGCUUAACACAUGCAAGUCGCGGGGCAGCAUGGGGGUUGCUUGCAAUCCCCGAUGGCGACCGGCGCACGGGUGAGUAACGCGUAUCCAACCUGCCCUUCACCACGGGAUAACCCGGCGAAAGUCGGACUAAUACCGUAUGUUGUCCAUUGACGGCAUCCGAUUUGGACGAAAGGUUUGGCGGUGAAGGAUGGGGAUGCGUCCGAUUAGCUGGACGGCGGGGUGACGGCCCACCGUGGCGACGAUCGGUAGGGGCUCUGAGAGGAAGGUCCCCCACACUGGAACUGAGACACGGUCCAGACUCCUACGGGAGGCAGCAGUGAGGAAUAUUGGUCAAUGGGCGUAAGCCUGAACCAGCCAAGUAGCGUGCAGGAUGACGGCCCUAUGGGUUGUAAACUGCUUUUAUGCGGGGAUAAAGUGGCCCACGUGUGGGUUUUUGCAGGUACCGCAUGAAUAAGGACCGGCUAAUUCCGUG